GCCGCUUUCCGCCAUCUUCUUUCUCGCACUUUAUCAAGCGGCGUCCGUGGCACGUUAGUUAGGUGGGAAGUGUCGGUAAUUCGUUAUUUUAACUUUUGACUUUUGACUUUUACCUUUAUCCUAUAGCUAACUAGUGAAUUUGCGCAAUAUGGACAAUAGAGACAUCAAAAGAGAUCGAUCUGGCAGCAGAGACCGUGACCGAUCCAGGAGAAACGACCGACAGUCAAAUUCUGGCGGUAUGCGAGAUCGUAGCCCUCUAUCCAAGAAAAGUGGCGGGGUUGGUGAUCGCAGAGUGUAUGUCUCCAACAUUGCCUAUGACUACAGGUGGCAAGAAUUGAAGGAUUUAUUCAGAGAGAAAGUUGGUGAGGUAGCAUUCGUAGAGUUAUUUGUCGAUGAAAAUGAUAAGCCCAGAGGCUGCGGCAUAGUUGAAUUCCACUCUCCUGAAUUAGCCCAAAAAGCCGUUGAAAAAAUGCACCGCUAUGAACUGAAAGGUCGCAAACUGGUUGUCAAAGAGAACUUCGAUGUUGAACGUGACAAGCAAGGCCGCCCUGUUGGUUUUGGUGGUAGAUCAGUUCGAAGCAAUGAAAGAAGUGGAGGUGGCGGUGGUGGAUCAAUGAACAACCACAGUAAUUGGAAUGAUCCCCCCAUGAACAACCAAAGUGGUGGGAACAAGUAUGGAAAUACUUACGGACUGUCCCCACAAUUUUUAGAGUCUCUCUGGAUCCAAGGACCUCUAACCAACAAAAUCUUUGUUGCCAAUCUGGACUAUAAAGUGGACGAAAAAAAAUUAAGAGAAGUGUUCAAGCUAGCUGGCAAAAUAGUAGAUUGUGACCUGAGUGUGGACAAGGAUGGUAAAAGCCGAGGUUUUGCUGUCAUCGAAUAUGAUCAUCCUGUUGAAGCAGUACAAGCUAUCUCUAUGCUCCAUAAUCAAGUACUGUAUGACCGGAGGCUUAUCGUUAGAUUAGACCGAGUAGAAAAAGAUGGACCCUCCAAGCUACCGGAAGGUCUGAAAGGGAUUGGAAUGGGGCUUGGUGCAAAUGGAGCACCUCUAACUGAUGUUGCACGGAAUAUACCUAAUAUCUCUCAGCCAACCAUUUCUGCUCAAACUCUUGCCCAAAACACAGCAUCUGUCCCAUCUGCUUUAGCUGCACUAGGAAAUAAUCCAGCAGUUGCACUUGCUGCAAAUCAGUUAGGAACUGGACAAUUGCAAAGCUUGGGUUCUAUCAGUAAUUUGAUUGGUGCUGCUGCUGCAGCGAAUCCCACCGACCUCUCCAGUUUGAUCUCAAAUAAUUACAGUGGUGGUUUAGCAGGAUUAGCAAGUGCUGCAAAUCCUGUGGCGACAGGGUUAGGUAACAGCUUGUUGACAAAUUCUGCUGCUUUUGGAGGUGCAGCAAGAGGAGUUGGAGGUCUAGGUGCUGCAGGUGGGCGAGACUUUGAUUCCUUGUCAGCAGCAUUCAACAAUUCAGACAGAGACUUCCAUCGCUCUGGAAGCGGAGCUGGUCCUGGAUCUGUCUUUUCAUCAUCUUUGUCAGGAGGACUAGAUCGAGGGAAUGGCGUCAAUGAUGGUUUGCUUCCCUCCCGCCGAACCGAUACUGUUGUCGUCUCCAAUCUCCCAGCUGCUACCACUUGGCAGCUACUGAAGGACAAAUUUUGCAGCUUUGGUGACAUUAAAUUCGCUGAAAUGAGAGGCAAGGAUUACGGUAUCAUCCGAUUUAGCAAUGAAUGGGAGGCAGAACGUGCGAUUAAUAUGAUGGAUCGAGCUCGCUUUGAUGGGAGAACAAUUAGUGUUCAGUACUUCUAAAGUACGAUUUCAACAUGGAAUCACAAUUCUGAACUGUCAUAAGUGGAUAAAAGACUCUUGAAGGAUAGCGUUUUGUUCGCUCAAGAACACCAAGAUGGAUUGGAGACAGUAGUAUUAGGCUCAAGCCAGUAUGCAUAUCAGACAAUAUUUGGUCAAACCAUGAAUUAAAGCUUUAAGAUUGGCCGCCUGUGAGAUGAAAGCAUCUCUUUUAUCCCGACAGGAGGCAGAAUUGGUAUGAUCCUGUUUCAUAGUUUUGCCAGGAAACUCAUUCCUCUCUUCAGUUUCUUUAAGUGUGUCAGUCUCAAAAAGCAGUCUAAAGAGGACCUUCAGCUGGCUGCAAGGAGAAACAAUUUUUUCUUUUGUAUGAAGGUAAUUCUCCCAAAAUUUGUCAGAGUAAGGUACAAGAAGAAAGGAAGUACGAUAAAACUCUGAUAUAAUUGUUGUGAAAGGGAAAAAAGGAUUAGUGAACAGAGACACAAAUGAUAGUGGUUGGAGGGUAGACAUCCUGUAUUGCGUCAAGUGAACGGCGUUGCCAACUAUGGCAUAACUAUACUAGAACAGACAAGGCUUUCACUACCUCAUCAUCUCCCCCUUUAAAACGGUUAGUGGACAAAAGUCAUGAAGAGCCCUGGGAAAAGCGUUAAGCGCACGAAGAUAGAGUGGUGUUUUACUCCAAGAAUCUGCCCAGAAUCUUGACUUCUCAGCCAGAUUUGAUUUCUUGCUGUUUUGCACGACCUUGUCCUUGGGUUGAUUUGCCAUCAGAAUAAGAGUUCAGCUUGCUUGAGUUGUUUCUUACUUUAAAAGAGAAAAACUUACAAUGUCUUCUAGGGAUUGAGAAGACUUUGAGGGAACUCGUUCAAGUUCAAUCACUUCAGGAGAUUUAGCCGCGUCAGGUGAUCCUGGUAGGUCUACUUGCCGAGAGGAUAGGUUUGAUGAACCAAUGGGUUUUGAUUCAGCAUCAGAUUCAGACGAUGACGUAACCAUUAGGGAUGUAUCUUCUUUUGCAUUUUCAGGUUGAUCUCUGUGAGGAGGUGCAUUUUGGGUAAUAAUGGAGACGAGGGCUACCUGACACAUAUGAAAUUGUAUUGUAGGAUUUUUACAUUUAUACAAGUUCUAUAAUUAAGUUACAUAGACGGGUCGAGGCUGUGUCUUUCGUAUGGGUCUACGCCAAGAUAUGGUACGGUUUUGUUGAAUCCAAGAUAUGGUACGGUUUUUUAGAAUCCAAGAUAUGGCACGGGUCCAAGCCGAGAUGCAAGUUGUCUCUACGAUUUUCACUUCUGCACUGGUUGGCCGGCCUAUGCCCUGGCCUCUAUUGAUUAAAUGCCCUUUUAAAGCGCCCUUAGCAGGUUAAGCUAGUGGCAGUUUUUGUUCCACCCAGCAAAUUCGGCCUUUUGAAUUGGCUUUGCAAUUUUGUUAAGUGCAAUAGGUGUGGCGGCGCGGCACAUAUAUCAUCUUUCAAAGAUAUGAUAAUGAAGAUCAGUCACCAAAAGUUAAUUUCCAGCACCCAAAAAAAUGUUUUACCUAAAUCAAAAAACACUAAAAUUUAAGAUUUUUUUUUUGGAUUAAUUAUUUAUUAAUUAUCACGCAAGUGGCAAACUAUCACCAAAGAAGAAAACAUACAAAAAUGAAUUCUACAUGCUUUAGUAAAACAUCUCAAUCUUUGAAUUAAAAAAAAUAUCACGUCAUUAAAACAUUUCAAUCUUUGAAUUAAAAAAAAUAUCACUUCAUUAAAACACUAAAUCUAAGAGAACAAUCGAGGCUUGAAAAAGUUUCGUCCGUAAGAAUGUCCCCUAAGGUAUUGUAGGGCACCUUGAAUUUAUUUGCCACAUCUUGUCUUUUCAUUUGCGGAUUCUUCUCACUGAACGCGAUUAUUUCUAAUUUUUGCUUCACGCUCAAAGUUGUAAGUCUACGUUUAGGAGGAGCCAUUUCAAACAAAUCAAUUAUGUGUCGCUAAAACCCGGAAAAAUCGCUAUAAAAACAGUCUGAGAGCGAGCAUUACAGACGUAACCCAACUAAUUUGUAAACAACAAUCGGCGAGGAAAAUCUUGUGUUGCUGAGGAACUUCGGCAACGAAACUUGUUUACGAUUAUUCCAUCAUGUAGUUCAUUUCAUUGCUGACAUUUGCUGACAGAUCGCAUUUUACCUAUUUUACCUUCUGCGACAAGUGAUACUCGCUCAAGAGCGGUAAAUACAAAAAGAAGUUACGAAAGGUCUAUAGUCGGGCGUAGGCUGUGGGUGCGGUUUUUGAAGGACAACUCAAGUCGGGCGUAGGAGUCAAAGGGUUAAUUACAUUCACAUAUAGUCAGAGCUUUUCGACACUGCAGGUGCCAUCUUCAAGGCUGACACAUUAAAUACAUAAAACUAACAAAAAGACAAAGAUCAUAUAUAGACAGCAAAAAGCACAAUAAAAUACGUACAUGUUGAAUUUAUGAAAUAUGAAAUAAAGCAAUGAAGUCAACUAAGGCUUACACAAUUAAUUGAAACAGUUAACAGAUACAACAGAUGUGCAACAUAUACCGAUAAUGAUUCGAUCCUGAAUGAGUGACAUUUUGAGAUCUUUGAAAUUGCAAUGUUCCGACAGUUUUUUAAGAGUGAGAAGAAAAGUUUCAAAAUCUUCACCUUCUUUUUGAACCCCUGUCAAAAACUGGUACCUCGAAAACACUUCGUUUGAUUUGGGUUUGACAUAGUCAUUAAGAGCUGAAGUGAGUUUGGCUACAGUGUCGGCUUCGUCAUCAGCCAGAUCCAGAGAAUUGAUGAGCUCUUCUGCUUCAGUACUGAUUAGAUUUAAAAAGAUUGCUUUUUGAACUGUUGUGUCCUUCUUGCUCAGCUCCCACACUGUAAUUGGUCCACUGCCUCUUGAAUUUUUCCCAGUUCUUUAGGAUGUCUUCGUCCACCUCAAGAGGUGAUGGCUUGAUGAGGAACUCCAUCAUGUUAAACACAUAUAGAAUUGCAAGGAGCAAUAGAAAUUCCACGAUUGGCGAGGAAUAAUUUAAUUAUUUAGAGUUCCGCGAUUGGCGAGGAACUGAAGAGGUAAGGUUCUGAAUACAGAACGCAAUAUAACAUUUCGAACUGAAACGAUAUUUUAAACAUUUUAAGAAAAGUCCACGACAUUUGGUGUCACGAACACGACAUUGAAAUAUGCACUUAGAGUUCCAAGACUAGCGAGGAACUUAGGAGGUAAAGUCCCGAAGACCGAACGCGUUAAAACAUUUCAAACUGAAUCGAUAUUCUAAAACAUAUUGAAAGAAGAGUCUACGACAUUUGGUGUUACGAACUUGACAUUGAAAUAACUUGGCUGCACUUUGCCAUUUUAGGCCAUCGUUUCGCGUGGUCGGGACGCCGUGUCGCUGUCUUUAUCCUGCUGCUCCGCUGUAAUCCUUCUUCUUCCGUCAUUUUAUCCUCGUCACCAUGAUUUAAGAUGAUAGUGGGUUGCACGCAAUUCUGUAAUUUUUUCAUUAUCGCCUUGCCUUAACCUGCCGGAAAAAAAAACAUCACAUGGCUGACCAAAUUUGGUGCACAAUGGUGGGAUAAUUGAACGAAGGCACGCAGGCUUACCGUUUUUUUUUUACGACAUAAGGGUCAAAAGAGUACCGUUGAAUGCAUCUGACAUGCUCCUUCAUGAGCUGGCCCGACUUGGAAGAGGUAAUGUAAACAUUGCGCAGCCUUUUCGCGAGAUCGUCGAUUUUCUUUUGAACGAGAGGCCUGAACUUACAGUCUUUCUCCUGCAUACACAAAAACACCUUCGGCAAAAGUUUUCCUGAUGCUGUCAUGCCGUACUGGGUCGUGUACAAGUGAGUCACCAUGUUAAAGUUGCCCAUAAACAUCUUGGUACUUUUUUCCUCUAAUAACAUUUUGGUUUGAGAGGGUCCGAUCAACUUUAAAACAAUAUUCGCACCCUGUUUGAUCACUGUUGAGCACAAAAUCCGGACUAUAUCGCCUUGCCAAGUUUUUCCCCUCGAGCAUGUAAGAAACAGCGCGCACAACAAUUUCCUCAUCUUCGAGUUCAUUUUUAGAUUUGAAGUACUGCGUUACUUUUCUUUGCCGAAUUUUGUAUUUCCUCUCAAAUUUGUCGACCCAACCCUGUGAGGCUUUGAAUGGAACACUAUCCGCGUUUUCUAAUGAAUUAACAGCAUCGAUAGCCCAUUGGUGGAUGUUUCUGUUUGUGACCGACCGCCUUGAAGCGCGAGCCUAUUUGAACUUUUGAAAAGUGAAGUCAUUCGCGAAAGUAAACUUUUCAUAGUUGGUUUUCUGCAGCCCCGCACUAACUUGGUUUUUCCAAAGCUGCUAUUGUCACGCUUUUUUCAAAAACGUGCACUUACUUUGCAACGUCUUCAGCCCCCAUUCAGGGUGCAACUCCGUCAAAUCCACAACUUUCUUCUUCAGUUCAAACGACGCAACAGCGUUGCACUGCACAUUCCUGGCCUCUGAAAAAUUAAGGUCAUUAUUUGCUUUAUCUUCGUCCUCACCAUCACUGUCCGAAUCCCCCAAAUAACAGUCGUCUUUGCCGCUCCGUCACUCACGGUUUUAGAGAAAAAGCCAGGACCAUCUUCUUUUUCAUUGGUUGAAAAAAAGCCUUGAUUCAAUUUUAAAUUGGUGCUGUUCGAUCUUGACGCUGAAAUUUUCAGCCAAUUUCUCACUGAUGAGCUUUCCUUGCUCCGAAUACUGUCUAAUACUGACUAAGUUACACGGCGAUACGUUUUGUGGAGAAUUAGUUUUAUUCGCGAACUGCGUUUUUUGGAUGUUUGUAACAAUUUUAUGUUGGGGGCUCAAAGUAUUUUUAUUUUGCCAAUUUUGGCCUGAAGAACCUCGGGUGCGUAUUUUGACUAGAUCUGGUCGUGCGAAAGUGGCUAAGAGAGCUUCUUCAAGGGAUUUGGGGUUUCUUGUUUCCAGGAAUUGUCUAUUGGAAUCUUUUAGCCUGUUCAUUAAUCGUCUUAAGACUCUUUUGUUUAAAUAGUAGUCAGUUACGUCUUUCAUGAUGUUUUUAUCACUGUGGCAUCCUAGUAACAGCUUCGCGAGCAUUUGAUCGUAACGUAAAAUUAUUCGUUCACAUUAUUGCAUGGGGGUUUCACUUGGUUUUUGAGACAUCACUCCUAACUCUUCAGCUAGAGCAGCUGAAUCUCUUUUAUCGUCGUAGGCCAGUAUCAACCUUUCUCUCAAGGCUGGCUAAGUUUGAUAACGUCCUAAGCCAAUCUGGUGAGCAAAGUGUAAAAGGGCAUGUUGGUAUGAAAACUGAGUCUCAGGGGUGUAUAAAAACGGGCUGUAUAGCCAUUCAUGGCAAUCGGAUAUUCUAGAAAGCGGGGAUACAACGUAUGUUUGAAUAAAUUUAUAUAUUUUACGCCUUACCCUUUACUUCUUCCACUUGCUUGGGACGAGUUCCUUGAUUGACAUGUCCGGGAGAAUCGACACCUCGUCGAUUGUUUGGAGCACCUUCUUCUGCAACAUAUGGAUCAGGGGUUGGUCCUCUCAUUGCCAUGCCAUCGUUGCCCUGUAACCUGCGUGGCGCCAGUAAUCGUCAUGUUGUACACUCCUCAAGUUUGCAGUCCUCAUUACGCUGACCGUCACCAGAAAAGCGGCAUCGACGGGCGCCGAUAUGAACUGAUGCAGUUUCCGUGCGCGUGUGUACGAGAUAUUUUGGCAAAUUCUGCCAUCGCCACCUUGAAUAAUUUUCUUUGCUGUGAACCGUUUGAAUAUGUUUUCCUCUAAGUUGGAAGCAUUGGAAUAAUCUUGUGAUUCCAAUUUUGCAUGUGCUGUUGAAGUAGUUGCACGCAUGGAUGGCGUGGAUGUGGUCUCCAUGCGUGGCAACGAUUUCUGGACAUUUGCUGGAAUUGCCGUAAAUUCCUUUAAGAAUUGAUUGAGCCUGACUGCCAAGAUCCUGAGUGUGGCUGAUUCUGGUGAAGCGGUCUUUCGUCCUCCCUGUGCCUUCUGUGCCGGGGAUCUGGGCGUUGUCCGCCGUGGUGCUCACUGCGCCGUCUGUCCUCCUGUUGGUCCGUCUGGUGCUGUCUUGCUCUAGCGCGCGACCGACACGCCGCUAUCUCAAACUUGCGUACCAUCCAGGGUGGUAGUGCUUUGGAAGGCGCCUUGCCCAAGUAUUCCUCCACCAGGCUCUCGAUCAUCCAAGCUGGGGUCUGGAGCUUGGCGUCGGCAACCUUGAUGACGAUUGGUCGCCUAGUAGAACCUUGGGAGGACCAGGGACACAGCGUGGAGGAUGGAGAGGCUUCAAGGUCUCAAAGGUGGUAAAAUAGUUCUGGAUCCACAGUAUUAUGCAGGAUAAAAAAAGGAUACUAAAUGAUACUUUAACAAAAAAUUAGUAUUUAAUAAUAAUGAAAAUGAAAAGAACAUCAUAAAUAAGUAAAACAAGUGGAACUCGAACAAAAGCGAGUCCAUGAGGCGCAUUUAGUGAUUAUAUCCACAGAAUGUAUGCAAUUAUACUUGACAUCCAGAUUUGCUCGAUGAGCUGUUAGAUGAGCUGUUCAAUGAGCUGCUUGCGGAGCUCGAUGUGCUUUCGCUGCUUUCCUGGAGGGGCACAUGGGGCACAUUCGUGGGCUUAGACCUGGGAACCAAAAGAGAUGACUGUGAUCACAUGCUGGCGCAAAAAAAGACAGGUGAGAGAGAGGGGGGGGGGGAACCUCAACCACUCGGGGAAUUGAACAUUUGAAGAAAAAAUCAGUUUCUGAAAAACAGAAAAGGUAGCCUCAUGCAUGAGAGAAACUAUACAAACUGUACCCAAAAAAUUAUGGGCCUCAUAAAAAAUGAGACUCCCCCUCAAGCCCCUUUCCAGAUGAGGUUGUCCUCCCAGACUUUUCCCAUUGAGUGUCCAAAUUAGUAUAACGCGAGGUACAAGAAAUCUUAAAACUAACCCUGUCCUGAACAAGCAGUUCAUAUAAAUCAUGAAAUUAAACGGCACCCUAAGACAGAUUCAAUGUUGCUGGCUCGGAAAAACAUUUGUCAGCAAAUUUUUGCUUGAGGCAGUAAAGAUUUAGCGUGACUUACGUUUUAUUUUCAAAUUUCAAUGCCUCCUGGGAAAACCAUCGGUUGACUGAGCGCUUGAUGUCAUCCUCGCUAACAUGGCAUUGAUGAAUGAGCAUCGCAGCAUCUGAAAACACAAAUAGAGCAGAAUUUGCUGUAGAAGAUUGAAGAUUUAGACAAGCAAUACUUAUUUGACGUUCACAGACUCGUGACAAUGACUCUACAGCCAUGUAUAUUACUUAACACAGGUUACAAAUUGUACGCUCCCUUUUAAUUUCUUAUUUCUAAAAAUUUAUAUUGAAAGUUUAACGGUCGCAAAAUACGCUCGAUCAUGCGAUCCGUGGAUCACUCCUCCAGAACCGAAACCAAUUUUCAGGAAAAUUUCGACGAUUUCUUGAUCUUUUCGACUUAACAGGAGACGGUUGGAGCAUUUCUGACGGAAACAUGAAGUGUUCAAAAGGAAGAGAGAGAGAAUAAUAAUAAUAAAACUGUUACAGCUCCCCUUUUACAUUCAUACGCAGGUUCAAAAUGCUUACCUAAUGCUCACCUGGAGGUGACUGCUCUACGAAAUUCUUCACUGAGUCUUCUUCCAUGAAGGUUCGAGCCAAUUCCUUUGGUUCGUAUCUGUCUAGUUGGGUUUCCUCCCCUUUUUUCUUCUGGGUUUCCAUCUCCCAAUAAUUCAUUCAAAUCCUCAAAUGCAUUCGGCUCAGUAUUCGAUUCAUUCCAUAGAAGGACUCUUUGAUCAACUGCUUCCAUAAGAGGAAAAGGUGAAUUUUUGUUAAGUUACCAAUAUGUCCACUGUUUAUCACAGCUUGAAUAUUACAAUCAACAAUCAAAAAAAUAAUUUUUACCAGAAUUAGGUGGAGAUAAAAUAAAUAAAGUAUUUUUUUUAAAAGUUUUUUUGUCCAAUAUACAUGUCAAAUUAUUUAAAAAAUCCAUUACGUUAUCAGAACCAAAUUGGUGAAUUAAAAGAGAAUCUGAAAUAAUAACUUUACUUACUAAAUCUAAAAAUUGAUUGCCUGGGUCAAUAGAAUCGUAAGAAAGGUUUUCAAAUUUUAUCAUUAAUUGGAAUUGAAACAAAGUACGUAAAUUCAUUUUAUUUAUUUUCAUUAAAAGGCAAUCAAUAUUCACUUGGACAAAAAAUGUUAGGGUCGUAAUAACGCUACUCUGAUUCUAACCAUCGUUCAGUUUUAAAUAUUCUACUAAUUGGAGUAAUUAGAAUAGAUGUUAAAAACUUUUCUAACCUUUGGCCUUUUGAUUGCUUUUCUGGGUCACCGGAAUCUUGCAUUUUUCCUCAAACGCCCGUUUGCAGGUUUCCUGAACAAACUGGGCUGACCGAUCCCUAGCAUUGGGUACAACUAGUGAAGCCCGCUAUUUGGCGUGCACCUACCAGGAAUCCCUCUCCGGCUUUUUCAUUGCCUUCAGAUCGUAAUACUCCAGUUUGAUCAGGACCCCACCCUUGUUCGCCCGGACUCUCGCAUUUGUAUAAUCUGCCGCGCUUUCGUCGAUAAAGACACUGAGAGGGACCUGAACAUCAAAAUCGGGGAGAUCGAGGUAGACACCCUGCAUGUGCAAAGGGCUUAUACGUCAAUAUUGUGUGCAGAAGACGAGUUAACAUCAUUCACCUACAACCACCUAUCAAUCACUCCCCUUUCACAAUGGUGGCAGAGGGGUGGUCUGAGGGAAAGUUGAAAUUGGGAAAAGUUGCCAUGGGAAUCCAUAAUUAAUAGGUGAGCAUAUGGUUUAGGGGUACAGGAUUUACUUCUCCCUACUUAUUGUUGUCAAUCUUCGACAGUUGCACCAACUAUUACACUUUUAAAAAAUGUUGUCUGUAAAGCAAAUAGUUCCGCUUGCUCGCUUAAGGUUUUAUGACUUGCUGUCUAAGCGCUUACCAAUCACCAUGAUUCCUCACAAGGUGAACAGCCUUGUAAGUGAAAGAGAUGAUAAAUGCAGGACCAUGUCUUUUCUACAGAGAAUAAAUUAACUGCAUACAAAUUCAAAGAUCAAUUGGUUUUUUAUUUCUGUGGCUCUGAGUUAUGUACAUGUAUAAAAGUAAAAAUAAAUACAUUAUCAUACAAUGACCUAAUCACAGCAUGGUCAUAAGAGGAGUUCCAAAAGUCUCAGGCAACAGUUGUUGGCUCUAAUUCAAAUUUUUGUAGAAGGACAAAUUAAAAAACUAAGGCACAAAGCAUAAGCAAUACAAUUCAUUGUGAAAAUAGCAGUACACAUUUGUGUGAACUGUUCUGGUGAAAAAAAAAUAUCAGUGAUAAAUAUGAUGAAGAAUUGUCAAAACCAAAAAAAAAAUAAAAAAAUAAUGCAUGUAUGAAUGAGAAAGACACUGUUUCUAACUGUUCAUGGCUGUACGCCUGCUUUUGGAAAAGAGAGUCGAUUUUUCUUUAGGCUAGGCAGAUGUAAGUUUUGCACCACUGAGAGUGUCUCGGAAUGAAAUCUGUUAAUUAUUGUAUACUUAUAGUGGUAAAAUAAAUAUGUUGAAUCAAAA